AUGACACAAAUAAAUGGUAUAAUUCUGCAAUUAAAAUACUACACUGAUUUAUUUUCCUUGACUUCAAAUAUAGUACAUUCAAAACAAAUUUUAAUAAAACUUCCUUUGGUACAGAUUUGUUCAGCAUUAGCAAUCAAUCGCAGGGAUGAUAGAUAAAGAAAAUGCAACGCCAUCUCUUUCCUACCAAUUUUUAAGAGAGAAUCAAUGCUUGGGCUAUGAUGAGAAAUGGAUUCAUAAGCAAAAUAUCAUUUUAGAAUGGGAGUAUAUUACACUCAGAUUGAACACGCUACCUUGAUGCCACUAUAAGCACAACAUCAAAUUACUUAGCAUACUUAAACAUUCAUUAAAGUGAAUUAAGGUACACUACUAAUUAUGACAAUAUGACUUCAAAAAAACUUUUCCUUACUUUUGCUCAACUUAAAAAAACGAUUGCAUCACAAGGAAAAUCUGCCCUCUUAAAGUUGAACACUCUACAUGUGCGCACAAAUCAGCUUCACAGAAGAAAGAAAAAUAAGUCAAUCUAAACUAACAAAAUGCCCCAAUUCAGUGUUAACAAUACCCUCAUAAAACUUUAAAAAAAAACUUUCCUGGAUCUGUUGAGGAAACGAAAGAAGCUAAGACUAAUACAAACAUCAAGAGAUCUGAUUCUGACCAAGAUCAUAAAAAAUAGAGCCGAAGAAGAAGCAAAAGUAGAAACCAAAAAAAACUUCAGCAAUUAAACAAACCAACAAUAGCCAUCAAACAAAGGUAACAGGACAACUGACAUAUGAACAAUUUCCAUCAGUUAUUAUUCCCAAACAAAUCUGCAGGUUCAUGUCAUUUAAUUAAAGAGCCGUACCCGGACAACAAAAAAUGGCAACCAAAAUACCAAAUGAAACUCAAGGAAAAUGUGAAGAGAGUUCCAGCAACCAAAGGUCCAGCGAGUCAAUUACCCAAAUCCCAAAUGCAACAGAAAUUCGGAUGGAAAUUCAAAGUUCCAAAGCUCCGAACCCCAGUGACAAAACCCGACUUAUACUUCAAAUCCAAAACAUUCUUGAAAACCAGAGAUUAAAGAGAAAUGCUGAGAUUUGUAAUUUUUGAUUCCUUUCGAAAUAAAAUAAUACUUGAAUUGAAAAUCAAAACUCAGACUAUAACUUUAAUAUUUUUUUUUGAAAGGAUGCAAACUGAAAUUUAAAAGAAAAGGCUUGAAGAAAUGGAAAACUCCAAGAACCCUAGCAUUUUACUCCCUAAUUUUCUGAAAAUUUCUUCCUCCCUAACAAGAAAAGAACUCACCUUAUAUAUAAACCUCAAAAUAUCUUGAAGCUUCUGCCUAGAAUCCGGAAAUCUUCAGGUUUUUGAACAAUUUUGAGACAAAUGGAGGGCGUGGAUUGAUUCACAUCUAUUCACGACUCUCAUUCGUCCAACAAUUGUCCCUUUGAAUCCGAAAUAUUGCAAUUUUGAGAGAAUAUCAUAUUCCUCUGACAAAUCUGUAAGGAUAAGGUGACGUGGAGGGGGGAGACCAAUGAAUGAACUCGCUCAAAACUCAAACGAGUUGAGGUGAAGAAGAAGAACAGUAGGGGAGGGGGGCGCCGUCUCUGAUUUUCUAGGUUUAGGGUUCAAAUGGGGGAAAGAAUUAUAAGGAGGCUUUUAUAUUUAAGAAGGAAACGGGUCGAACCGGCGGGUUGGUUCAUUUUUUGCUGGGCUGAACCCGGUUUAAUUGGACUGGGGUGGUAAGGGAGGAGGGUUCUUUGGGCUGGAGAGUGUGAAUUUUAAGGGGAAGAAUUUGGGCCGAAAUUGGGGUGUUUAAAAUGGCCCAAAACCAAAUAAAACUCUUGUCUUCAAAUAAUUUCUUUUCUCUUUCUUCUUUUUUUAAUUAGAAGUCCUAAAAUUAAAAAAAAUCCAAAAUUAUCUAAAAAAUGUAAAAUCAAGCUAAUUAAUUAAUUAUAAAAUUGUAAACAUUGCUCAAAUCUAUAUUAAAAGUGGAAAAUCAAUGAACUAAAAAUUAAAGCAAAAAUGUGAAAAUGAACUAUUUUUUUAUGAUUUUCAAAUUUUAUAAAACAAGUAAUUAUGGAUUAACUCUAAAAAGUAUAAAAAUAAAUCCUAAAUAUAGUGCACGAUAUUUUGGUAUUUUAUGAUUUGAAUAAUCAAUUAGAAAGUCUAUUUUCUUAGAUUUUCUAGGAGUAUUUCAUGUAUGGCAAAAAUCACAUGCUCACACCUGCCCCUCUUUGCUCGGAGACACAAAGUAUUUUCGGGCAAAGAUAAAAUGAGCAAUUACGAGGGAUAUUUUCUCGUUUGAAACUCAAUGAGAAGCAUUUUUUGAAAGAGCCUGACCGAACAUUGCUUCAAAAGUUGCCUACAUAUCCUUGGCUAUAAAGGAAUCACGUCAGUGUAGUUCUAGAAGUUUUGGUAGCUGGGACUUCUGAGAAGCUGUGAUUUCACUACUUUUGUUGCUGUUCCUGCUUGCUAAACUCCUUAUUACACCGAAAAAAUAGAAAAAAUAAAAAGGUAAAGUAGCUAAACCUAUCAACUACGAGUUAUAAGAUUCCUAUCUAUAAUUCUCUUGAAGCUUGAUCUUGAGUCUUGGAAAGGUCUUGCUGCAGGCUUCGAUCUGAAUCUUGAUGUUUUUCGGCUAUAGGUGUUGGUUCUUUCUUCGGCUUUCGAUCAAGGCGGGACAUGCGAGGUUGUGACUUCAAUCAAAUUUUGAGCAGUCCGUGUCCUUCUCCACUUCAGCACUUUGAGUUCACUUCUUUUGUUCUUUUUCUUCUUUUCUUUAUUUUAGAUUGAGAUUCAUUUUUGGUCAUCUCGAAUCUUGUGCCUUGAGGUCAAACAUACUUAGACACCAAAACAAACAAACGAACAAAAAUUCCUGCCCCAGUUUUCACUAGGAAAAUUUCAUGAGUUAUUUGCAACAAAAAUCUAAAAUAUUUCUUCAUUGAAAGCAAUAAAAAUCAAGAUUGUGUAUCCUUAGAAGUAGGGAGUGAAGCCCUAAAUUGGAAAGAUUGCCAGGUUAUGCUGGAAAGAUGAUCGGGUUAUGUCGGAAAAGAAAAAGGUCCAUCGGGUUAUGUCGGGAAAGUCAUCGGAUUAUGCUAGAAGAAAAGAAAAAGGUUCUCAGGUUAUGUUGGGAGAAAAGAAAAAAGGUCCUCGGGUUAUGCCGGGGAGGUCCACGGGUUAUGCCGGGAGAAGAAGAAAAAGGUCCUUAGGGUUAUGCCAGGGAGGCCCACGGGUUAAGCCGGGAUAAAAGAAAAAAGGUACUUGGGUUAUGCCAGGGAGGUCCACGGGUUAUGCCGGGGUAAAAAGGUCCUUGGGUUAUGCCAGGGAGAAAAGAACAAAGGUCCUUGGGUUAUUGUAGGGAGGUCUACGGGUUAUGCCGGAAAAAAAGAAAAAACGUCCUUGGGUUAUGCCAGAGAGGUCCACGGGUUAUGCCAGGGAGAAAAUAAAAAAGGUCCUUGGGUUAUGCCAGGGAGAAAGGAAAAGAUCCUCGGGUUAUAUCGGGAUAAAAGAAAAAAGAUCAUUGGGUUAUGCCAGGGAGGUCUACGGGUUAUGCCGAGGUAAAAGAAAAAGGUCCUUGGGUUUUGCCAGGGAGAANNN
rnacentral:lncRNA from 1 species